CUGGACGUGGGCCAGAGUGGCCAUUUCGCCUACGUUGUCCACUGGUUCUUACCCGUGUGUCGCAUGCAAGAUGUUGAGGGCUUCUUGGUGUCUCAGCAGAGCCCCUGGGUCAGGCCACAUCCUCGAGGCUAUAGGACCUCCCUUCAUAGCCCAGCCCACCUCUCCCCAGCAGCUCUGAUUGGAGCCUCCAGAUGCCCACGCAGCUUCAGGCUCCUGGGAAAAGUGGAGUUGUCUGCAAGAAA